UGGGGGGGCCUUUCGGGAGGCAGCAGUGGGGAAUUUUGGACAAUGGGCGCAAGCCUGAUCCAGCAAUGCCGCGUGAGUGAAGAAGGCCUUCGGGUUGUAAAGCUCUUUUGUCAGGGAAGAAACGGCUGCGGCUAAUAUCCGCGGCUAAUGACGGUACCUGAAGAAUAAGCACCGGCUAACUACGUGCCAGCAGCCGCGGUAAUACGUAGGGUGCAAGCGUUAAUCGGAAUUACUGGGCGUAAAGCGUGCGCAGGCGGUUUUGUAAGUCUGACGUGAAAGCCCCGGGCUCAACCUGGGAAUUGCGUUGGAGACUGCAAGGCUUGAAUCUGGCAGAGGGGGGUAGAAUUCCACGUGUAGCAGUGAAAUGCGUAGAGAUGUGGAGGAACACCGAUGGCGAAGGCAGCCCCCUGGGUCAAGAUUGACGCUCAUGCACGAAAGCGUGGGGAGCAAACAGGAUUAGAUACCCUGGUAGUCCACGCCCUAAACGAUGUCUACUAGUUGUCGGGUUUUAAUUAACUUGGUAACGCAGCUAACGCGUGAAGUAGACCGCCUGGAUGCAU
rnacentral:rRNA from 1 species